rnacentral:lncRNA from 1 species
GGGGCUGAAUCUUGAUAAAUGGAAAAACAUGGUAUACAAGAAAGGGCUCAUUGGAGUAUUUUUAUUGAUAAUAUUUUUUGAGAUUUUCAAAAAUUUAAAUAUGGAGAAUAAUAGAUCCAUCUAAAUUCUUAAUUUUAUAAGCUCCUGGACGAAUUACAUCGAGAUUCGAUAAGAUCCUUCCCAAUUGAGAGCUAGUUUACCC